AGACGUGCUAUGUCCAGGGUGCUUCUCCUUGCCAGAGCUAUUAUGUUCAAGCUCCUGCAAGUGGCUCAACCUCCCAGUACUGUGUCACUGACCCAUGCUCUGCUCCCUGUUCCACCAGCUACUGCUGUCUGGCUCCCCGGACCUUCGGGGUGAGUCCCCUGAGACGCUGGAUUCAGCGGCCCCAGAACUGCAACACAGGAUCAUCUGGCUGCUGUGAGAAUUCGGGAAGCUCUGGAUGCUGUGGUUCUGGGGGCUGUGGCUGCAGCUGUGGAUGUGGCAGCUCUGGGUGCUGCUGUUUGGGAAUUAUCCCCAUGAGGUCCCGAGGUCCUGCAUGCUGUGACCAUGAGGAUGACUGCUGCUGCUAAACAUACGACAGCUCAACUCCAGAAUGCACUGCCCCGCUACCCCUUCUGGAA
rnacentral:lncRNA from 10 species